UGAGGCAUUGUUCAUGUAGUGCGGUCUGGU
rnacentral:piRNA from 1 species